UACGUAGGUGACAAGCGUUGUCCGGAUUUACUGGGCGUAAAGAGCGCGCAGGCGGUCGUUCAAGUCGAGUGUGAAAGCCCCCGGCUCAACUGGGGAGGGUCACUCGAUACUGAUCGACUCGAAGGCAGGAGAGGGUAGUGGAAUUCCCGGUGUAGUGGUGAAAUGCGUAGAUAUCGGGAGGAACACCAGUGGCGAAGGCGACUACCUGGUCUGUUCUUGACGCUGAGGCGCGAAAGCUAGGGGAGCAAACGGG
rnacentral:rRNA from 1 species